rnacentral:rRNA from 1 species
GAUGAACGCUGGCGGCGUGCCUAAUACAUGCAAGUCGAACGCGAGAGGAGGGAGCUUGCUCCCUCUGAUCGAGUGGCGGACGGGUGAGUAACACGUAGGCAACCUGCCCAUCAGCCGGGGAUAACUGCGGGAAACCGUGGCUAAUACCGGAUAAUCCUCUCCACCGCGGGGUGGGGAGUUGAAAGACGGUUUCGGCUGUCGCUGGUUGAUGGGCCUGCGGCGCAUUAGCUAGUUGGUGAGGUAACGGCUCACCAAGGCGACGACGGGUAGCCGGCCUGAGAGGGUGACCGGCCACACUGGGACUGCGACACGGCCCAGACGCCUACGGGAGGCAGCAGUGGGGAAUAGUGCACAAUGGGCGCAAGCCUGAUGCAGCAACGCCGCGUGAGGGAUGACGGCCUUCGGGUUGUAAACCUCUUUUAGCAGGGAAGAAGCGAAAGUGACGGUACCUGCAGAAAAAGCACCGGCUAACUACGUGCCAGCAGCCGCGGUAA